UUACCUUCACACAGUGUUCUUGCAACACUGAAUUACUUUUUUUUAAAAUGAAGAUGCAAAGGGGACGAAGUCAUACCUGCUCCUGGAGACCGAAGAUGCUGCUCCUAGAGACUGAAGAUGCUUGCAGCGUUGAUGAUGAUUAUCGCCUACUGCUUCCUCUGGUCUUCCUUCUGUGACCACUUGUCUGUGCUUUCCUUCUUGAUUUCUCAACAGCUUCUAAAUCUACAAGGAAGAUUCGGGCUUGCUGUGAGUGUUCUUUGGCUGAAUCCGGGUUUUUUCUUUGUUUGCAGGUCCGAAGACAAUUUCAAGGAUAAUUCUCCUCACUGACUGUUAUUUGCCAUGAACGAGAUCGUGGGCGAGAGACGUGAUCCACGAUUGGAUCGAAUCCGUUGCAGAUUUUCAGCCUGUUGAAUCGGGAUGGAGAAGAUGAACACGAUUGUUCCACCAGCAACGGCAACGUUUCGGCAGCAAUGGACAUUUUCAUUUUGACCCCUGAACGUUUUAAACUCAACAAUUGGGAUCUUAAUCAGUAAUAAUUAAUUUCUAAUUGUGCCCUUGGAUUAGAUUCAAUUUGAAUCCCUGAGUUAUAGCGCCAUUUACAUAACAGUCCUGGGUUUCUGGACUAUUCAAUUUGGUCCUUGGACUUUAAUUUUCUAGCAA